GAAAACAAGGGCUUUUGGCUCAGAGUCGAUGUUAUAUCCUGUGUUGGUUUCUUUUAUUUCCUCGGUUUUCUUUUCUUUUCUUUUUCUCGAUUCAUCACUUUUUCUUUUUCUCUUGUUUUUGCACUUUCUAGGACUUUGAGAGCUUUUGGGGUUUUUACCCCAAACUUAGCUUUUCAACACAGUUGGAAUAUAUUCUCAUGACUCUGAGCAGGUGUAGCGGUGUAUUCUUUACCAUUGGAGAUAUUGACCUAAUCCAAGGUAAAUCAUACAAAGUCGAGUCGCCACCGCACUUCUAUUUAUCCAAAGGAAUGGUUAGAAA
rnacentral:lncRNA from 1 species